rnacentral:sRNA from 1 species
UUCCUUUUACCUUUCCUUUCCUUCAUAUGUAAAUAUGCACACAUGCCCACACAAUAUUUUCCAUAUCCUUUUCCAUCAUUAUUUAUCACAAACUAUGAAUAUAUUUCCUUGUGCUAUACAGUAGGAUCUUGUUUAUCUAUUCUAUAUAUUAACAUUAUAGUUUGCAUCUGCUCAUCACCAGCUCCCAAUCUAUGCCUCCCCCGGUCUCACGAAUUCCGCUCA